AUUAUGGGUAGCAUUAAGCUGAUUUUUUUUCAGAUUUUUCCUAUGAAUGGGAGGGUAGUUUUAAAAUGGAUACCUAAGUUUGGGAACACUCAAUAGUGCUCCAUGCAAAGUAGGGUACUUUAAAGGGGAAUAACUAAAGAACGGGUACAGCUAGGAAGACGCGGAAAACUCUGUUAUUAUUGUGAUGAUUCACAAUAGUCUAAGUAACAAAACAACGAGGAGAUUCUUGCAAUGCAGUUUAUUAACAGAUGUGUUGGAAUACAAUGCCGGGUACGACUCUGCUGGAUGAACAGAGUGUCGGGCUUUUAUAGGCAAUUAUCAAGGUGGUGGGGAUUGCACCAUCACUGCAGAGUGUGGCGCAAUCCCGGAUGUAGUUGCAUAGGCAACAGGUGAGAUGGUGCAAUAGAGAAAGCCAUCAAGGUACUGCGUAGUACAGCGACCUUGAGGUACGGCGUAGUAGAUUGACCUUGGGAUACUGCGUAGUAGAUUGCUCUAUACUACAAGCAGUAGGCCGUAUACAGGCAGUAUACACAAGUCAUUACACUCCUCCCCCUUCCGCAGAAGUUUGGUCGGGGAAGGAAACCAUUUUUGUUUCGAGUAGUUCGGUAGUAAGUUUCAAUACAUGCAAGAGAAAAUUUUUUGUAUGCUGCUAAUACUACUUUUAAGUGUAUAUAUGUAUGAUUAAAUUGAAUACAGUGGGAA